rnacentral:lncRNA from 1 species
GGAUAUCGGGCAUAGGAAACCCGUUAAAAACUGUUGAUCCUAAUUUUACGUUCCUUAUAUAUAACCACCCAUCCGUCCCAUUGCGUCGUUUCUCAUCUCAUCUUGGCCAUCCCUCCAGGAACUGGCAUGCAGCCGCCAGUCCAUCACAUCCUUGGCCGACUUUGUUGCAAGGUACUAGCAUCUAAAUGCAAAAUCCUUUUUUCCAAUUAUAUUGAUUCUUUCUUGGUAACAUUGAUGAACGUGUGGCAGCGGAACAACUUUUUGCUAGUUUAGCCGGACUCAACAUCACAGUUGUUGAUCAUUAGGCCCAGCGAUACUUUGAUGCGGUGACUAGAAGGCAGAAGCAUAUCCAUCGAUGGCGGAAUCCAUUCAUGGACAUCAUCCCAAAUCUUUCUGUCAUUUGGAUCGAUAUAUGUUCAUUUCAAUCUAAUUCCUUGCGGAUUACAGAUCUACUGACCAUAUCCUCUUACCUUGAGGCGUUUCUCGAGCUGCUCCCCCUAAUUCAUCUGCUGGCACCGUCCCUAGAUGACAGGAAAAGUGGCAUGCAGAUCCGCCUAGGCAUCACAUUUAAUUUCUCUCUGUGAAUAGGAACAUCAAUGGGAUCCAGGUAAGGUCGAGAUAGUCUUAAUCCUUACUGCAAUAAUCGAUAUAUACAACUAGUUUCUCAUUCUAUAUUCUUUACGAACCAGGUAGCAGACUGCAUCUCUUGGAAGCUACGUCUGCAUUCGCCUAUAUCAUCCACGGAUCCACGUGUCCAUGGUUCAUUCCUACCAUGACCACGAAGUAUUGGGUGCACCGAUGAGGCGAUGACCAAAAGCAAGACAAGAGAUAAAUGCUAGUAAUAAAAUAAUAUACUCGUAAUAAUGUAUGAGACGAUACUCUUGUCAAAAAACUAUAUACAUAUACUAAGCCAACUUCUGUGUAUUUACAUAUACAUAUACAUACACUCAUUUGUCAAAAAAUUAUGUACAUAUACUAAGCAAACUUCUGUGUAUCUACAUAUACAUAUACUCUCAUUUGUCAAAAAA